UUCUUUCCGGUUCUCCCUUCACCCAUUCAUUCUAAACCCUAGCAGCCUCCCUCCCACACAAUUCCUGCAGAUCCAUUUGUUGACGAGUUUCAAAGGAUUUCCAAGAACACUUGAAGAUCUUCAUCUUCUUAGGUUAAUGAAGUCAUGGUCGUAAUGGAAAGUGCAAGGGCGAAGCUUCAUAGGAGCCAGGGGAUAUAGGUAACAAGUCAGAAUAAGUUGAGUUCGGCUGGCCAAAAUUUCUAAAUUAUACUUAGAAGUAUAUUUUAUCUUUUAUAUUAUUCCAGUCUCUCUGUUUCUUUUAACU